GGCGAACGGGGGAGGUAAUCAUUCGGAACGUGCCUAGUAGUGGGGGAUAAUUACUCGAAAGAGUAGCUAAUACCGCAUGAUAUCUACGGAUGAAAGCAGGGGACCUUUCGGGCCUUGUGCUACUAGAGCGGCUGAUGGCAGAUUAGGUAGUUUGGUGGGGUAAAGGCUUACCAAGCCCGUGAUCUGUAGCUGGUCUGAGAGGACGACCAGCCACACUGGGACUGAGACACGGCCCAGACUCCUACGGGAGGCAGCAGUGGGGAAUUUUGGACAAUGGGCGAAAGCCUGAUCCAGCAAUGCCGCGUGCAGGAUGAAGGCCCUCGGGUUGUAAACUGCUUUUGUACGGAACGAAAAGCCUGAGGCUAAUAUCCUCGGGUCAUGACGGUACCGUAAGAAUAAGCACCGGCUAACUACGUGCCAGCAGCCGCGGUAAUACGUAGGGUGCAAGCGUUAAUCGGAAUUACUGGGCGUAAAGCGUGCGCAGGCGGUUUUGUAAGACAGUGGUGAAAUCCCCGGGCUCAACCUGGGAACUGCCAUUGUGACUGCAAGGCUGGAGUGCGGCAGAGGGGGAUGGAAUUCCGCGUGUAGCAGUGAAAUGCGUAGAUAUGACGCAGAACUCCGAUUGCGAAGGCAGCUUUCCAGCGCGCUACUGACGCUGAGGCACGAAAGCGUGGGGAUCGAACAGGAUUAGAUACCCUGGUAGUCCACGCAGUAAACGAUGACUACUAGCUUUCCGGGAU
rnacentral:rRNA from 1 species